UUGGUGCUUGCAUCAUGAUUUACAUUUGAGUGAGUGGCGAACUGGUGAGUAACACGUGGGAAACCUGCCCAGAAGCGGGGGAUAACACCUGGAAACAGAUGCUAAUACCGCAUAACAACUUGGACCGCAUGGUCCGAGUUUGAAAGAUGGCUUCGGCUAUCACUUUUGGAUGGUCCCGCGGCGUAUUAGCUAGAUGGUGGGGUAACGGCUCACCAUGGCAAUGAUACGUAGCCGACCUGAGAGGGUAAUCGGCCACAUUGGGACUGAGACACGGCCCAAACUCCUACGGGAGGCAGCAGUAGGGAAUCUUCCACAAUGGACGAAAGUCUGAUGGAGCAACGCCGCGUGAGUGAAGAAGGGUUUCGGCUCGUAAAACUCUGUUGUUAAAGAAGAACAUAUCUGAGAGUAACUGUUCAGGUAUUGACGGUAUUUAACCAGAAAGCCACGGCUAACUACGUGCCAGCAGCCGCGGUAAUACGUAGGUGGCAAGCGUUGUCCGGAUUUAUUGGGCGUAAAGCGAGCGCAGGCGGUUUUUUAAGUCUGAUGUGAAAGCCUUCGGCUCAACCGAAGAAGUGCAUCGGAAACUGGGAAACUUGAGUGCAGAAGAGGACAGUGGAACUCCAUGUGUAGCGGUGAAAUGCGUAGAUAUAUGGAAGAACACCAGUGGCGAAGGCGGCUGUCUGGUCUGUAACUGACGCUGAGGCUCGAAAGUAUGGGUAGCAAACAGGAUUAGAUACCCUGGUAGUCCAUACCGUAAACGAUGAAUGCUAAGUGUUGGAGGGUUUCCGCCCUUCAGUGCUGCAGCUAACGCAUUAAGCAUUCCGCCUGGGGAGUACGGCCGCAAGGCUGAAACUCAAAGGAAUUGACGGGGGCCCGCACAAGCGGUGGAGCAUGUGGUUUAAUUCGAAGCUACGCGAAGAACCUUACCAGGUCUUGACAUACUAUGCAAAUCUAAGAGAUUAGACGUUCCCUUCGGGGACAUGGAUACAGGUGGUGCAUGGUUGUCGUCAGCUCGUGUCGUGAGAUGUUGGGUUAAGUCCCGCAACGAGCGCAACCCUUAUUAUCAGUUGCCAGCAUUAAGUUGGGCACUCUGGUGAGACUGCCGGUGACAACCGGAGGAAGGUGGGGAUGACGUCAAAUCAUCAUGCCCCUUAUGACCUGGGCUACCGUGCUACAUGGAUGG
rnacentral:rRNA from 1 species